rnacentral:rRNA from 1 species
GACGAACGCUGGCGGCGUGCUUAACACAUGCAAGUCGAACGGAAAGGCCCUGCUUUUGUGGGGUGCUCGAGUGGCGAACGGGUGAGUAACACGUGAGUAACCUGCCCUUGACUUUGGGAUAACUUCAGGAAACUGGGGCUAAUACCGGAUAGGAGCUCCUGCUGCAUGGUGGGGGUUGGAAAGUUUCGGCGGUUGGGGAUGGACUCGCGGCUUAUCAGCUUGUUGGUGGGGUAGUGGCUUACCAAGGCUUUGACGGGUAGCCGGCCUGAGAGGGUGACCGGCCACAUUGGGACUGAGAUACGGACCAGACUCCUACGGGGGGCAGCAGUGGGGAAUAUUACACAAUGGGAGGAAGCCUGAUGCAGCAACGCCGAGUGCGGGAUGACGGCCUUCGGGUUGUAAACGGAUUUCGCCUGUGACGAAGAGUGAGUGACGGUAAUGGGUAAAGAAGCACCGGCUAACUACGUG